UACGGAGGGUGCAAGCGUUAUCCGGAUUUACUGGGUUUAAAGGGUGCGUAGGCGGCUCCUUAAGUCAGUGGUGAAAGCCUGGCGCUUAACGCCAGAAAUGCCAUUGAUACUGGGGAGCUUGAGUCAAGAAGAGGUAAGCAGAAUUCAUGGUGUAGCGGUGAAAUGCAUAGAUACCAUGAGGAAUUCCAAUAGCGAAGGCA
rnacentral:rRNA from 1 species